GGCUCAGGAUGAACGCUAGCUACAGGCUUAACACAUGCAAGUCGAGGGGCAGCAUUCCAGUUUGCUUGCAAACUGGAGAUGGCGACCGGCGCACGGGUGAGUAACACGUAUCCAACCUGCCGAUAACUCGGGGAUAGCCUUUCGAAAGAAAGAUUAAUACCCGAUGGCAUAAUAGAACCGCAUGGUUUGAUUAUUAAAGAAUUUCGGUUAUCGAUGGGGAUGCGUUCCAUUAGGCAGUUGGUGGGGUAACGGCCCACCAAACCUUCGAUGGAUAGGGGUUCUGAGAGGAAGGUCCCCCACAUUGGAACUGAGACACGGUCCAAACUCCUACGGGAGGCAGCAGUGAGGAAUAUUGGUCAAUGGACGAGAGUCUGAACCAGCCAAGUAGCGUGAAGGAUGACUGCCCUAUGGGUUGUAAACUUCUUUUAUAUGGGAAUAAAGUUUUCCACGUGUGGAAUUUUGUAUGUACCAUAUGAAUAAGGAUCGGCUAACUCCGUGCCAGCAGCCGCGGUAAUACGGAGGAUCCGAGCGUUAUCCGGAUUUAUUGGGUUUAAAGGGAGCGUAGGUGGAUUGUUAAGUCAGUUGUGAAAGUUUGCGGCUCAACCGUAAAAUUGCAGUUGAUACUGGCUGUCUUGAGUACAGUAGAGGUGGGCGGAAUUCGUGGUGUAGCGGUGAAAUGCUUAGAUAUCACGAAGAACUCCGAUUGCGAAGGCAGCUCACUGGACUGCAACUGACACUGAUGCUCGAAAGUGUGGGUAUCAAACAGGAUUAGAUACCCUGGUAGUCCACACAGUAAACGAUGAAUACUCGCUGUUUGCGAUAUACAGUAAGCGGCCAAGCGAAAGCAUUAAGUAUUCCACCUGGGGAGUACGCCGGCAACGGUGAAACUCAAAGGAAUUGACGGGGGCCC
rnacentral:rRNA from 1 species